rnacentral:rRNA from 1 species
CCCUUAGAUGUUCUGGGCCGCACGCGCGCUACACUGACGAAGUCAGCGAGCAUGUCCUACGCCGACAGGUGCGGGGAAUCUUGUCAAACUUCGUCGUGAUGGGGAUUGAUUUUUGAAAUUCUUGACCAUAAACGAGGAAUUCCUAGUAAGCGCAAGUCAGCAGCUUGCGUUGAUUACGUCCCUGCCCUUUGUACACACCGCCCGUCGCUACUACCGAUUGAAUGGUUUAGUGAGAUCUUCGGAUUGGCGCCACUGCAGCUCAGCAAUGGGCUUGGUGGAUGCCGAAAAGUUGAUCAAACUUGAUCAUUUAGAGGAAGUAAAAGUCGUAACA